AUGAACGCUGGCGGCGUGCUUAACACCUGCCAGUCGAACGGUGAACACGGAGCUUGCUCUGUGGGAUCAGUGGCGAACGGGUGAGUAACACGUGAGCAACCUGCCCCUGACUCUGGGAUAAGCGCUGGAAACGGCGUCUAAUACUGGAUAUGUGACGUGACCGCAUGGUCUGCGUUUGGAAAGAUUUUUCGGUUGGGGAUGGGCUCGCGGCCUAUCAGCUUGUUGGUGAGGUAAUGGCUCACCAAGGCGUCGACGGGUAGCCGGCCUGAGAGGGUGACCGGCCACACUGGGACUGAGACACGGCCCAGACUCCUACGGGAGGCAGCAGUGGGGAAUAUUGCACAAUGGGCGCAAGCCUGAUGCAGCAACGCCGCGUGAGGGAUGACGGCCUUCGGGUUGUAAACCUCUUUUAGCAGGGAAGAAGCGAAAGUGACGGUACCUGCAGAAAAAGCGCCGGCUAACUACGUG
rnacentral:rRNA from 1 species